GAAACAGAAGUUAUUUUAGCUGCUCUCAGUUUGAAUUUUAAACUAAACGGCCGGGACGGAGUUACAGGAAGCUGGGCUCUAAUAGUGGUGAUUGACAUUUUCAGUCGCCCUCUCGUGGUUGAGGAAGGAAAAGCUGGCGUGAAAGCAAGCUUCGAGCCGAAAGGCGAAGCCUGACUCGUGAUCAAACGUCUCGGGCGGACGUCAACUAAGAGUACUGUGGUGGUUUCAAUCUCAACGG